GAUGAACGCUAGCGGCAGGCCUAACACAUGCAAGUCGAGGGGCAACGGGGGUGAGCUUGCUCACCUGCCGGCGACCGGCGCACGGGUGCGCAACGCGUAUGGAACCUGCCUUUUACAGGG
rnacentral:rRNA from 1 species